rnacentral:rRNA from 1 species
UAGUCAAUGCUCGCAAGAGUGAACUAGCUAACUGAAAUCAUAUAUGUGUCAUAUGUGAUAAAGUAAGGGAAAAUAAUGAUAUUACCUUAUUAUUAGUGUUGUCCAAAACUGGUGCCAGAAGACUCGGUAAGGCCAGAGACGCAAACGUUAGUCGUCCUAAUCAGGCGUAAAGGGUUUGUAGGCUGCUUUAAAACUUUUAUUUUUAAUAUAGCUAAAAUAAAGAUAAGAUCAAUUAAAGCUAGAAUCAAAUAGAGGGUAAACCAAAUAAUACUUAGAGUAGGGCCGAUAUCCAUAAAUACUAGGUGGAAUACUAAAGGUGAAAGCUUUUUAUCUACUAAUGAUUGACGCUGAGAAACGAAGGUGAGGAAAGGAAACAGGAUUAGAUACCCACAUACCCCUCUCUGUCAACGAUGAAUGGUGGCUUGCUAAUUGAAUAAAACAUUAAAAAGUUUAAUGUAAUUAUAAUAAAAAAUUGGUAGCGAUGUUAACACGAUAACCAUUCCGCCUUGUGAGUACGACUGCAAAGUGAAAACAA